AUUGAACGCUGGCGGCAUGCCUUACACAUGCAAGUCGAACGGUAACAGGUCUUCGGAUGCUGACGAGUGGCGAACGGGUGAGUAAUACAUCGGAACGUGCCUAGUAGUGGGGGAUAACUACUCGAAAGAGUGGCUAAUACCGCAUGCGAUCUACGGAUGAAAGCAGGGGAUCGCAAGACCUUGUGCUACUAGAGCGGCCGAUGGCAGAUUAGGCAGUGGGUGGGAUAAAAGCUUACCAAGCCGACGAUCUGUAGCUGGUCUGAGAGGACGAUCAGCCACACUGGGACUGGGACACGGCCCAGACUCCUACGGGAGGCAGCAGUGGGGAAUUUUGGACAAUGGGCGAAAGGCUGAUCCAGCAAUGCCGCGUGCAGGAUGAAGGCCUUCGGGUUGUAAACUGCUUUUGUACGGAGCGAAAAGCACCGGGUUAAUACCCUGGGGUCAUGACGGUACCGUAAGAAUAAGCACCGGCUAACUACGUGCCAGCCGCCGCCGUAA
rnacentral:rRNA from 1 species